rnacentral:rRNA from 1 species
GCUUGCCUACGGGGCGCAGCAGUGGGGAAUAUUGGACAAUGGGGGGAACCCUGAUCCAGCGACGCCGCGUGGGUGAAGAAGUAUUUCGGUAUGUAAAGCUCUAUCAGCAGGGGAGAAAGAAAUGACGGUACCUGACUAAGAAGCCCCGGCUAACUACGUGCCAGCAGCCGCGGUAAUACGUAGGGGGCAAGCGUUAUCCGGAUUUACUGGGUGUAAAGGGAGUGUAGACGGAAAGGCAAGUCAGAAGUGAAAACCCAAGGCCCAACCAUGGGACUGCUUUUGAAACUGUUAAA